rnacentral:rRNA from 1 species
UACAGAGGGGGCAAGCGUUGUUCGGAAUUACUGGGCGUAAAGGGCGCGUAGGCGGCCCGCUAAGUCGAACGUGAAAUCCCCGAGCUCAACUCGGGAACUGCGUCCGAUACUGGCGGGCUUGAAUCCGGGAGAGGGAUGCGGAAUUCCAGGUGUAGCGGUGAAAUGCGUAGAUAUCAGGAGGAACACCAAUUGCGAAGGCAGCUCGCUGGGACGUUACUGACGCUGAGACGCGAAAGCGUGGGGAUCAAACAGG